rnacentral:rRNA from 1 species
GACGAACGCUGGCGGCGUGCUUAACACAUGCAAGUCGAACGGUGACGAGGAGCUUGCUCCUCUGAUCAGUGGCGAACGGGUGAGUAACACGUGAGCAACCUGCCCCAGACUCUGGGAUAACAGUUGGAAACAGCUGCUAAUACCGGAUACGAGACGGAGAGGCAUCUCUACCGUCUGGAAAGUUUUUCGGUCUGGGAUGGACUCGCGGCCUAUCAGCUAGUUGGUGAGGUAAUGGCUCACCAAGGCGACGACGGGUAGCCGGCCUGAGAGGGCGACCGGCCACACUGGGACUGAGACACGGCCCAGACUCCUACGGGAGGCAGCAGUGGGGAAUAUUGCACAAUGGGCGAAAGCCUGAUGCAGCGACGCCGCGUGAGGGAUGACGGCCUCGGUUGGUAACCGUACUUCUAGCAGGAGAAGCGAAGUAGAGGACCUGCAGAAGAAGAACGCGUACUAACGUGCCAGCAGCCGCGGUAUACGUACG